CUACAACUACAACCGCACGCUUGCAAGUUUUAAAAGCUUUGGCUACUUGCUACGGCGAGUCUUAGAUAUUGA
rfam:Lactobacillus wasatchensis strain WDC04 contig00004, whole genome shotgun sequence.